rnacentral:rRNA from 1 species
UACGUAGGGUGCGAGCGUUGUCCGGAAUUAUUGGGCGUAAAGGGCUCGUAGGCGGUUUGUCGCGUCGGGAGUGAAAACACUGGGCUUAACUCAGUGCUUGCUUCCGAUACGGGCAGACUAGAGGUAUGCAGGGGGAGAACGGAAUUCCUGGUGUAGCGGUGAAAAUGCGCAGAUAUCAGGAGGAACACCGGUGGCGAAGGCGGCUCUCUGGAACGGUACUGACGCUGAAGACGCGAAAAGCGUGGGGGAGCGAACAGG